rnacentral:rRNA from 1 species
UUCGGCCUUAGUGGCGCACGGGUGAGUAACGCGUGUGAACGUACCCUUUGGUUCGGGAUAACGUCUGGAAACGGACGCUAAUACCGGAUGAGCCCUUCGGGGGAAAGAUUUAUCGCCAAAGGAGCGGCCCGCGUGCUGAUUAGCUAGUUGGUGGGGUAAUGGCCCACCAAGGCGACGAUCAGUAGCUGGUCUGAGACAACAACCAGCCAAACUGGGACUGAGACACGACCCAGACUAGUACGGGAGGCAGCAGUGGGGAAUAUUGGACAAUGGGGGCAACCCUGAUCCAGCCAUGCCGCGUGAGUGAUGAAGGCGUUCGGGUUGUAAAGCUCUUUCGCACGCGACGAUGAUGACGGUAGCGUGAGAAGAAGCCCCGGCUAACUUCGUGCCAGCAGCCGCGGUAAUACGAAGGGGGCUAGCGUUGUUCGGAAUUACUGGGCGUAAAGG